AUACGAAGGUGGCAAGCGUUAUUCGGAAUCACUGGGCAUAAAGGGCCUGCAGGCGGUUUGUUAAGUUAAUUGUGAAAUCCCUCGGCUUAACCGAGGAAUUGCUGUUAAAACUGGCAAGCUAGAGUGUUGGAGGGGUAAGUGGAAUUCUUGGUGGAGCGGUGGAAUGCGUAGAUAUCAAGAGGAACGCCGGAGGCGAAAGCGACUUACUAGACAACUACUGACGCUGAGGGGCGAAAGCUAGGGUAGCGAACGGGAUUAGAAACCCCAGUAGUCC
rnacentral:rRNA from 1 species